GACGAACGCUGGCGGCGUGCUUAACACAUGCAAGUCGAACGGAAAGGCCCUGCUUGCAGGGUACUCGAGUGGCGAACGGGUGAGUAACACGUGGGUGAUCUGCCCUGCACUUCGGGAUAAGCCUGGGAAACUGGGUCUAAUACCGGAUAGGAGCCAUUUUUAGUGUGAUGGUUGGAAAGUUUUUUCGGUGUAGGAUGAGCUCGCGGCCUAUCAGCUUGUUGGUGGGGUAAUGGCCUACCAAGGCGGCGACGGGUAGCCGGCCUGAGAGGGUGGACGGCCACAUUGGGACUGAGAGACGGCCCAGACUCCUACGGGAGGCAGCAGUGGGGAAGAUUGCACAAUGGGCGCAAGCCUGAUGCAGCGGCGCCGCGUGGGGGAUGACGGCCUUCGGGUUGAAAACUCCUUUCGCUAGGGACGAAGCUUUUUGUGACGGUACCUAGAUAAGAAGCACCGGCUAACUACGUG
rnacentral:rRNA from 1 species